rnacentral:lncRNA from 1 species
CUAAAACAUACUGAUCGAGUUCCUACAUUAAAGAAAACACAGGACUCAAGAAUUAGAGUGAAAACUUACUGUUUUUGCUGCUGACCUCUCAUGCUUUCCUAUGGCACCAGAGCUCUGAUUUUGAAGAACAUCCUUUACAUACCGUCUGCUGAGAUGUCAGUAAAAAUGCCUUAUCCAGACCUGAGGAUCCAGCCAUACUGAGGAAGAUGUG